UGGCAACGCUACUUAUGACCAUCUGUUAAUUAUUCUAUCAGCUAACCGUACUGGUACAACUCAAUGGCGGUGUAAACAUAUAACAGAUGCCCGAUAUUUUUCACAGACUGUCUCCAUAAAAAUAAAAACUAAAGAUCAAACACAGAAAAAUGCUGAAAACACGACCACUGGUGGCCAAAUGGAAAAUAUUGCUGAUUCAAAUAUUACAUUAUUUGCUGUAAUUGGAGCUGGUUGCCUGUUUGGUUUGUUGUUUAUUGGAUGUUUUAUUUACGUAGCCAGUCGCCAUAGACAACAGAACACAGAACCAAGAAAGAAAACUGAGAAUUCAGACCCAGUGGUUGAGGAAAGUAAGAUGUACCCGAGUGUAAAUACGAUCGCGAUGGGUGGAGAUUACGAGGCUAUGGAUGAUUUACCCGCCUGGAAUGAUAACAGAGAUAACUCAAACAAGACUGGUGCUUAUGAUCCUAAUAAAAUUUAUGGUGUAGUCAAUAAAAACACCAACAAAGGAACCACAACUUUCCAGCAAAACCCAGAACAACCGCCUUAUAGUUUACCCGAUCAACAAGCGAUUUAUUCACAAGUUCAACGCAAUCCUAUUGUUGAAAGUCAAGACAUACCAGCCGCCGCACUAACUGUAGAAUAUGCAGAAAUAAAUUACGCUACCAAAAAGCAACAUAACUAACACGGACAAAUUUUACUUGGAAUUACUAUCAAGGUCCUGGAUAUUAGUUUUCUGUCACAGCGCGGACGAAUUCGUAAGCGAAUGUUGACAAGAAUUUUAAUCGCCAUUCAUCCGUUAAAAAAAAUAGCAUGCACGAGGACUCAAAAACUCUCAAGUAUAUCCCUAUGUAAUUAUGGUUGAUUUUUUUUUAAAGAUGCAUUAUGCCAGAUUUAGAUAAAGAGCUGGUCGUUAUUGCUAUAAUAGUUCAAAAAUAGAUAAUUCAAAAUUAAAUAUUAAUCAAGUUAUCACUGUUCGAAGUUUUGACAAGAUGUGUCAAAUAAUGUUCAUUACCGUAGCAACGUUAUUUGUUAAUCGAGACUCAGUCUCGCUUCUCCAUUUUUAUAUUAAACCAUUACAUGGCGAUCGCAUUUCAAUGGACAGUCUAAUAAAUGGAUUAUAGGCUUGUCAUGUGAAUAAAUGGAUUAUAGGCUUGUCAUGUGAAUAAAUGUCUAAAUAAUAAACUUUAUAAGAUUUAAAGCCAAAAUAAAAAGCUACAAUUCGCAGAUUUAGCUCUUACAUAAUGCAUCGUUAAUAUUUACAAAACAUUUUUAUUAUUCCACAAUUUCUUUAUUAUUCCAAAUGUAUUUUUAAACAAUAUUUAACAUUCUUUUAUAUUAGCUAUAUUUUUCAGGUUUAAGAACUUGCAUGCACGAGGACUUAUAUUAGAUAUAUUUUUCAGGUUUAAGAACUUGCAUGCACGAGGACUUAUAUUAGAUAUAUUAUUCACGUUUAAGAAUUUGCAUGCAUGGGGACUCAUAAACUGUCAUGUAAUAUAGUAGAUUUGUUAAAUAUUUAUAUAAAAAGUUUUAUUAUUCUAUAAUUUAUUAGUUUGUAUUUUUCCACAAUAUUUAAUAUAUAUCUGUAUAUUAGCUAUAUUUGUUCACUUUAAGAAUUUGCAUGCAUGAAGACUUAUAAACUGUCAUGUAAAUGAUAGUAGAUUUGUUAAAUAUUUCUAAAAAAAUAAAUAUUAUUCUAUAAUUCAUUAGUUUGUAUUAUUCCACACUGUUUUAUAUUACUGUAUGUUAGCUAUAUUAUUCUCUAAUUUAUUAAUAUGCAGAAUUAAUAUUCGUAUAUACAUAUUAGCUAUAUGUUUCAGGUUUAACUUAAAAGAUUUCGUCCCAGACAUAUUUUAGUGAAUCAAACUGGGCAAAUAAUUUUUAAAAGAAUGUUACAAAUUUGACCCCUUUCAAAGAGACCUGGCAACGUUUUUACGCGCGGUGUUGUUUUUAUAUUCAUGGUUUACUAAUGCAGGUUUCAUAUAAUACGGCUAGGUAUAUAACUAUUUGUCUUCAUUUAGAAAUUACUUGAAUCGAAUACAAGUUCAUUCCCGUGUAGAGUAAGAUUUUGAAAAUAUUUUCCUUUAAAGGGAUAUAACUUAUUCAAAGAUUUUUUUUUUUUUUAAAAAUAUGACCUUUAUGGAGAAUGGGCAGAAUUAGGAUAAUGUAGACCUUAAUUAAAAUUACACUGUAUAUUUUUUAUUCUUUAUUCUAUUACGGAAGCGUAUAGGGGUCAUGCAAAAUUUUGUAUAAGGUCUCGAGAUCCUGCGAUCCUGUGAUACUUUCUCGAUAUCCCGUGAUCACCUGAUAAUUUUCUCGAGAUCUUAAUUUAAUUUUCUCGAAAUCCCCUGAUAAUUUUCCUGAGAUAUUGACAUCCUGUGUAAAUUUUCUCGAGAAUUCGAGUUAAUAUUCUCGAGAUAUUGACAUCCUGUGUAAAUUUUCGCGAGAUCCCGAGUUAAUAUGAAACCUUAUACGAUAUAGUGUCUCCGCGGAGUGAUGCAACCAUUGGCCCAAUACUUUGCACCCGAUUUGAUAAAAAAAAAACAUUUGUUACAAAGGGUACCCAUGAUUUACACUCAAUUUGAAAUAUGAUUAAAAUCGAUACGUUUCAUCGUCUUAUGGCCCAAAUUUGAAUUACAGACAUGCUUGUUAAAUUAUUUCAAUUUAAUGUUUCUUCGACGUUUAAUAGAAUAUGUCAUCUUUUGCAUGGUUUUCGGACCAUAUUUUGUUUUAGAAUAAAGCUAGACACAGAGUUUAUUGACUUGUGGCAGAAAUGCUUCGGGGCAGAUUUUAAAUCAAAAAUCUUGAAAAACUCUGGGCUCUAACGCGUUCAUAAGGGAUCGCUGCAAAUCAAUAAGGUUCAUUGUUCCGCCGAAAAUAAAUAGGGUUUCUCUGCUUAUGACACUAAUGAUUCAAAAUAAAUUUGAACGAUAGCCACACAAAGUGUGGAGAUCCGCCCACGCAGCAUGUCUCAAUAAAUAGUGACCCAAAUACGCUUCCAUAAAUGAACUGCUCUUUUCAUUUUCUUUGUUUUCUUUGUUUCGUUUGAAUUUGAUUUAUCUGUUUAGUUUUUGAUUGUUUAAUUUUUGUUAAUGAAGUUGAUUCUUUUAAACUUCGUUUUUAUUUUUGAACUCUACUUGGUGUAGGUGUUCAUCAGGUAAUACCUCGACUGGGUUCAAUAUAGAGAUUAGCCGGUUGAUUUGUUGAUAUAAACCUUUGAAUAAUAGCGCCUAACAGACAGCUGUGUUUAAUUAUGUUCUCCUGAUUUUGAUUGUUUCUGUGUGUUUGAAGUAUAUGUUUUUGAUAUGCGCUUAGAAACACUUCACGUGUAAUGAAGCGCUAUAUAAAUCGAACAAUAAUAAUAAUAAUCUAUGCCUCAACAGCAGAUUAUUCGAAAGGAAAACUUGGAUGUUUAAUAAAUUGAAUAAGGAUCUAGCAUUCUUCAAGAAAUCUUAUCUCUAUCGUGUUCACGUGCUUGUUACAUCUCUGGGACAAAAAAACUUAUAUUGCUGAAAAAUAACAGGGGUCAUCCUUGUCGCGGAACACUGAAUUUCGAAAAUCCGUUAAAAACAAGGUUUUCAAAGAAUGGAGAGUAUAACCCCGGAACGGAAGGUCGUUAACCACUGAAUAUCGAUAAAGUUCAUGACCCCAAAGCUUCACACAAAAUUGUAAAAGUGAAACCUCUAUGGCGUGAACAAAGCUUUCAGGGAGCGGGCGGGGAGCGGGGUAUAUUAAGGAACAGAAGGUCACCGAAUGCUGAAUAUCGAUAGGGUUCGUCCUCACAUUGUCACAUAUCUGAAAGAAAUACGGACAAAGUUUGCGGAGUACUGAAAAUCGAAAGGUCCUAGUGCUUCACACCACAUUUAAAAAACAAAAUCAGUUAAAAACUGUAGCCUCUAUUGCGUUAACAAGGUUUUUCGGAUAAGGGGGAUAACUCCAGAUUGAUGAGGUGCGCUGGAAGCUAGAAGCGACAGGGACCGUCCUCUCAUGGCCACAAUGCUUUACAGUAAACUGUAGGCUCUAUCGUCCUAUUAUGGUUUUCGGGAAAGUGUG